CGACAAAAGUUGUCGCAACUUAGGUUCAUAAUUUUACUUAAACAUUAGGUCAAAUGUUUCUAAUCUUUUCUCAUAAUUUACAAGGAAUUACGGAGUGAUAUACCAACAAAAUUAAAGAUCUAUGAGUCUAGUUUCCAACUCAUUAAACCGUUCAUCGAUACGAUCUCGGAGUAGAGAGAUAUUCGCGUUUUCGCGAGACUGCGCCAAGCACCUCUCUAUGGGGCCCACUAAGUCGGUUUAAGAUAUUUGGACCUAUAUAGGAUGACUACAAACCGUUUUAAGUCAUUUCUUUUCACUAUUUUCAGACCUUAGAACCCUAAGAACAUCCUCUCAAGGUUCUCUCAAGAUUCAAGACCCNNNNNNNNNNNNNNNNNNNNNNNNNAAUACAUUGGAAGGUGAAACGGCUCUAUGAGGUAAGCAAUAAUUUGAGAAUACUCCUCCUUAAUACAAAAUGGUGAUAUGUAGAUAAUGUAAAUACGCAUAAUGCUUUGUGUAGCCUUGUGAAGCCAUAUGUUGGGAUUAAUUACUUGCAAGUUUUGCUAGUGACCAUUUUAUAGGGGAAAAUUGAUUGGAAAUUUCCAUUGGAAUCCACGAUGAUUUAAACUCCCCAUAAACCCUUACACUCGAGGACGAAUGUUCCUAAGGGGGGAGGGUGUUACAACCCAUAUCCACAUGUGUUAGUUCAUGCCAUAUAUUAGUUAACAUAAAUCCAAGAAGGAAUUAUCUUUGAGAUGAUAAGAAGUCAAUCCUAUUGGUCUUAAGUGAUACAAGAGUGUAUAAGGGUGAUUAACCAGUAUUAGAAGUUAAACGAAUCAAGGAUGUUGUAACUCGAAUUUUCAGGUAAUCUAGCGGUGCUUAAUACACUCAAGAGGUCAUUUAUGAAGGUAUUUUAAUCAUAUAAUAUCCGUAUCAUAAGUCUUGAAGUCAAACGAGUUAUGAAACAAAAGUCGACAAAAGUUGUCGCAACUUAGGUUCAUAAUUUUACUUAAACAUUAGGUCAAAUGUUUCUAAUCUUUUCUCAUAAUUUACAAGGAAUUACGGAGUGAUAUACCAACAAAAUUAAAUAUCUAUGAGUCUAGUUUCCAAAUCAUUAAACCGUUCAUCGAUACGAUCUCGGAGUAGAGAGAUAUUCGCGUUUUCGCGAGACUGCGCCAAGCACCUCUCUAUGGGGCCCACUAAGUCGGUUUAAGAUAUUUGGACCUAUAUAGGAUGACUACAACCCGUUUUAAGUCAUUUCUUUUCACUAUUUUCAGACCUUAGAACCCUAGGAACAUCCUCUCAAGGUUCUCUCAAGAUUCAAGACCCAAAAAAAGGGCAAACCACACAAAUCAAGUGUCGGGAAUUCCGUGGCGCUAGUAAGUCUCUUGUUCUUCUUGUUGUUGCUCAUUUUUGUGUCGUUCCAGCCCGUGUGGGAGGUUGUUUUAAAGGGUUUAUGUUCUGUAAAUACUCCCUCAUGUUCUUAAUAUCAAUCCUAGGUAAUUUCAAGCCUUCUAAAGUGAUUCUAGUGCCGAAAAACACUAAUUGAUCGCUAGUUUCGUUUUUUUUGUUGUGUGGCAGCAUUGGAGGGAUAUUUCAUGGAAAUUUAAGGUCAAAUUGGACUUGUUCUUUCUGUAUAAAGGUAAGGAACCUCUUACUCUAUAUGUAUUUAAGAUUAUCCAAGUUGCGGCUAAGCCAUUGAAGCUAGAACUUGUGAGAUAUAUAUCGAAAGGCUUGGUAGUAAUGUUAUUGUUUUGUGGACUGUUUUGUGUUAUUGUUGGGCUGCGUAUUUUACUACUAUCUUGUGGAGUUUUGGAGGAGGAAGGGUGUGGAGAAACACCAUAUAUAUGUAGGUUUAUGGGCUGAUAGUUAUUC
rnacentral:lncRNA from 1 species